rnacentral:misc_RNA from 1 species
GUAAUCCUCCAAAGCCAAAAACAAUUCCAUCGUCAUCGUCACCGUCACCGUCACCGUCACCGUCUUCCAAAACGGCGACGGAUUCAAGCAAAGACGCUGAAAGUACUUAUCCGGCGGCGGUGGCGGCGGAGGCGGAAGAUACGAAUGUGAAUGGGAACGACUCUGAUGGGUUCGAAACAGCAAGCGAACGAGAAGUGAGCGAUAACGAAGAAAUCAUCAAUGAAGAUACUCCUCAACGACCAGAACCACAGCCACAGCCAGCAUCACCACAGGAAGCGAACGCGGACUCUAGUGUAAACGACGACGAAUUGCAACAGAAAACUUUAUUACAAGCUAAUGAUGCUAAAUUGGAAGGCAAUAGAUUGUUUGGAGAUGGGCAGUAUGAGGAGGCAUUAUUAAAAUAUGAUGCUGCAUUACAAGUUGCAUUGGACGUGCCUUCGUUUGUAGAGUUGCGUUCCAUGUGCCAUGCAAAUCGUGCUGUAUGCUUCUUGAAAUUGGGAAAGUACGAAGACACAAUCAAGGAAUGUACAAAGGCCCUAGAACUAAAUCCUUCCUACAUGAAAGCUCUGCUCAGGAGAGGAGAAGCUCAUGAAAAGCUUGAACACUUUGAGGAGGCAAUAGCUGAUAUGAAAAAAAUCUUGGAAUUGGAUCCUUCAAAUGACCAAGCUAAGAAAGCCAUUCACCGCUUGGAACCGUUGGCUGCAGAAAAGCGAGAAAAAAUGAAGGAGGAAAUGAUUGGAAAGCUGAAAGAAUUGGGAAACUCUGUGCUAGGCCGAUUUGGUAUGAGUGUUGACAACUUCAAAGCAGUUAAAGAUCCAAACACUGGUUCAUAUUCUAUUUCAUUCCAACGUUAGUUUUGUAAUAUGAGAUCCCUGGCCUACAUUUUUAUCCUUGGCAGAAACAAUGUGAGAAAAAUGAAAGUUGUCCAAUGGAAUGACAUAUCACAAAACUAACGUUGGAAUGAAAUAGAA